UACGAAGGGGGCUAGCGUUGUUCGGAUUUACUGGGCGUAAAGCGCGUGUAGGCGGCCAUGCAAGUCGGAUGUGAAAGCCCUCGGCUCAACCGGGGAAGUGCACUCGAAACUGCAAGGCUAGAGUCUCGGAGAGGAUCGUGGAAUUCUCGGUGUAGAGGUGAAAUUCGUAGAUAUCGAGAGGAACACCGGUGGCGAAGGCGGCGAUCUGGACGAUGACUGACGCUGAGACGCGAAAGCGUGGGGAGCAAACAGG
rnacentral:rRNA from 1 species